CGCAAGGCUAAAACUCAAAGGAAUUGACGGGGCCCCGCACAAGCAGCGGAGCGUGUGGUUUAAUUCGAGGCUACGCGAAGAACCUUACCUAGGUUUGACAUCUGGCGCUAUCCUGUGAAAGCAGGAGUUCCGCAAGGACGCCAAGACAGGUGCUGCAUGGCUGUCGUCAGCUCGUGUCGUGAGAUGUUCGGUUAAGUCCGAAAACGAGCGCAACCCCCGGGUCUAGUUACAAGUGUCUAGACCGACUGCCUGCGACAAGUGGGAGGAAGGUGGGGAUGACGUCAAGUCAGCAUGGCCUUUACAUCUAGGGCUACACACACGCUACAAUGGCGCGUACAGUGGGAAGCAAGACCGCGAGGUGGAGCGAAUCCUGAAAGCGCGUCGUAGUUCGGAUUGCAGGCUGCAACUCGCCUGCAUGAAGCUGGAGUUGCUAGUAAACGUAGGUCAGCA
rnacentral:rRNA from 1 species